AGCAGAGUGGCGCAGCGGAAGCGUGCUGGGCCCAUAACCCAGAGGACAAUGGAUUGAAACCACCCUCUGCUA
rnacentral:tRNA from 1 species